UACGUAGGGUGCAAGCGUUGUCCGGAAUUAUUGGGCGUAAAGAGCUCGUAGGCGGUUUGUCGCGUCUGCCGUGAAAGUCCGGGGCUCAACUCCGGAUCUGCGGUGGGUACGGGCAGACUAGAGUGAUGUAGGGGAGACUGGAAUUCCUGGUGUAGCGGUGAAAUGCGCAGAUAUCAGGAGGAACACCGGUGGCGAAGGCGGCUCACUGGCUCAUUACUGACGCUCAGGCGCGAUAGCGUGGGGAUCAAGCAGG
rnacentral:rRNA from 1 species